rnacentral:lncRNA from 1 species
AAUAAUUCCUGCAUUGAAAGAGGAAUUUUCAGAUUGAAUGACAAUCGAGUAGAGUUAGAAGCAUCUGAUUUGUCCAUGGCGCUGAUACCAAGUUCAAAUCUUGAACAAAAUAUUUCCUUUAUUUGUAUUCUAUUAUUUUUCAAAGGAUGCAUGUACAUGAUUAUAUAACUACAACUAAGUCACAAUAUAUGGAAAAAACUAAUAUCUUCCUAUUUUACAGGUAGAGUUAGAACCAUCUGAUUUGUCCAUGACGCUGAUACUAAGUUCAAAUCUUGAACAAAAUAUUUUCUUUUUUUGUAUUCUAUUAUUUUCCAAAUGAUGCAUGUACAUGAUUAUAUAACUACAACUAAGUAACAAUAUACGAAAAGAACUAAUAUCUUCCUAUUUUACAAUGAUAUCCAGAAUCGAGUUCCUAUUUUAAAAUAUUACAGAAUAUCUCUACAAGCCCUAAAAUAUCUCUACAAGGUGAUGGGGAGUUAAGAACUGAGGGUGAAGGAAUGGUAUGUGAAUUGAUGGACUGAGGAUCAGGUGUGACAAGAGGAUGACUGGUUUGAGGGUUUGAAAAGAUAGCAGGACAACAAUCAUUUGCAGGGCUAGGGAAUGCAGAUAAAGAGACUAGAAAAAUAGGAGUAUGAUGAGGUUGUGAAUCUAGAAGAGUAUGUUUGGGAUGUUUAAAUGGAAAAAUAUCCUCCUUAAAGGAUACAUCUUUGUUAACAUAAACGGAACUUGUGGCAUUAUUGUAAAGUUUGUAACCUUUUUGUGUAUCAAAAUAGCCCAUAAAAACAAAAGUAAUUGCCUUGGGAGAAAAAUUGACAGUGGUGAUCGGUCUAGUGGCAUAACACAAGCAGUCAAAAACUCGUAAAUGGUGUAAUUUGGGCACUUGAUUAUGGAAGACCUCAUACAGAGAUUUUCCUGCCAAAAUUGAUGAGGGAAGUCUAUUUAAGAGUGGAUGAUCUUGGAACCUGAGUGCCCUUGCCAUUUCAAAAACAUGUCUAUGUUUUGUUUCCGCAAUGUCAUUUUGUUGAGGUGUGUGGACACAAGUACUCUAGUGAAUUAUACCAAGAGAAGUAAAAAGAGUGAUAUUGUGAGUUAAAAAGUUCCAAGACCAUUGUCUGAACUAACAAUUAUAAUAGAAGUUGAAAACUGAUUUUUGAUGAGACUAAUAAAUAUUGUGAUAAAAGUCACAACUUCACUUUGUAUCUCAACAAGAAAAUCCAAGUCAUUCAGGAGUACUCAUCAGUAAUGGCAAGAAAAAACACAUAACCAUUAUAAGAACAUUGCUUAUAAGGCCCCCAAACAUCCAUAUGCAGAAUUUCAAAAGGAGAUACAAUUUUAUUAGUGCUAGAAGAGAAGGGGAAUCUAGUUUAUCUUGCAAGAGGACACACAGGACACGAAAGAAAAACUUUAUUCUGCAACUGAGGCCCUUAGUGAGUCUAUUUGUGGGAACUAAAAAAAGUUCAAUUGUAUCAUAUUAACACAUUACAUAUGUAAAAAUAUAUAUUCAUUAUAAAGUACUAACAAAUCCUUGGUCAAUCAAAUACAUCCUAAUUAAAUAUAGUAGUCAGUUCAAAACAUUUAGUUUAUGCUAAUACAUCCCAAUUAAAUAUAGUAGUCAACUUCAAAACAUUUAGUUUAUACUAAUACUAAGUUGCAUAUUAAUGAUCCUAAUCUCAAAACAAAAAGAAAGGGGCAUAUGGCGAAAUUGAUAGAAGCUACGAACUUAAUUGGUAAUGAAACCAUAAUUUAAAUUAAUAUUACAUGUAUCACACUGUAACUUGUUGAUUUUUAAUUUCAAGAUUACUUAUUUAAUGUAUAAUUAAUAGGAGUAUAGUACUUAUCAAUUUAUACAAGAAACACAAAUACUAAUGUAUCACAAUUGAAUGGUCAUCUCAAAAAUAUAAAUAAAAAUCAAAUUAACAACACAAUAUAUGUAGUUUCAUACCUCUGCUUGUCUGAUCUAUUUUAUUAUGCAACUAAAACUCUGAUCUAUUUUAUACAUUGCAAAUCGAGACUCAUAUUUUUUUCCAGAUUUUUGAAUGACAGGUUUUUUUUUCCAGAUUCUUCAUUGUCUUAGCAAAAUCAAAAUAUUCAUGAUGUACCUUCUCAUUGUUUUUUGGAUUUUGAAUCAAAAUUGAAAGGAUCUUCGAUGAAUUGGAAGAAGAAAUUUAAAAUCCCACUUAUGUAUCAUUCAUAACUCACCUUGAUUUUCCAGAUUCUUGAACGUAUUCAUGAUCAUGUAUCGGCUAUUGUUUUCAACUUUUAAAAUCUAUUAUGAUUUAGGAAAGAAAUAAAAGAUGAAAAUUUGAAUUGUUUGAAACCAUACGGAUCAAAUCAUAUGUCGGGAUAGAAUGUAAUUUAAAUCUUAUUUGGAUACAUUCUAUCCAACUUAUUUGCUAUGUAUCCGAAUAACAUUAUUUUUAAGGGACUUUCGUAAA